ACUUAAGUAGCUUAAGGUAGAGCAUAAUAUUGAAGAUAUUAAGGUAAAAUUUAAUUCUUAAGUA
rnacentral:tRNA from 1 species